GGCGAUCGAAAAGAUUAAGCCAUGCAUGUAUAAGUUUAAUCGUUUUAACGAGAAACCGCGAACGGCUCAUUACAAUGGCCAUGAUUUACUUGAUCUUGAUUAUCUAAAUGGAUAACUGUGGAAAAGCUAGAGCUAAUACAUGCACCAAAGCUUUGUCCUCACGGAAAAGCGCAUUUAUUAGAACAAAACCACGCGGCUUCGGCUGCUUCUUGUUGACUCAGAAUAACUAAGCUGACCGCAUGGCCUUGUGCCGGCGGCGUGUCUUUCAAGCGUCCACUUUAUCAACUUGACGGGAGCAUAAUCGACUCCCGUGGUGGUGACGGAUAACGGAGGAUCAGGGUUCGACUCCGGAGAAGGGGCCUGAGAAAUGGCCACUACGUCUAAGGAUGGCAGCAGGCGCGCAAAUUACCCACUCUCGGCUCGAGGAGGUAGUGACGAGAAAUAACGAGACUGUUCUCUUUGAGGCCGGUCAUCGGAAUGGGUACAAUUUAAACCCUUUAACGAGUAUCAAGCAGAGGGCAAGUCUGGUGCCAGCAGCCGCGGUAAUUCCAGCUCUGCUAAUACAUAGAAUUAUUGCUGCGGUUAAAAAGCUCGUAGUUGGAUUCGUAUCGGUACCUUGGAACCCUUCGGGUGUUUCUGGGUGUUAUCGAUUUAUCGUAAUGUUCGGUUUUGAGUCCUUAACAGGAUUCUUAACAGUCAUUGCAAGUUUACUUUGAACAAAUCAGAGUGCUUCAAACAGGCGUUUUCGCUUGAAUGAUCGUGCAUGGAAUAAUAGAAAACGAUUUCGGUUCAGUUUUAUUGGUUUUACGGACUGAGAUAAUGGUUAACAGAGACAAACGGGGGCAUUUGUAUGGCCCCGUGAGAGGUGAAAUUCUUGGACCGUGGCCGGACAAACUACAGCGAAAGCAUUUGCCAAGAAUGUCUUCAUUAAUCAAGAACGAAAGUCAGAGGUUCGAAGGCGAUCAGAUACCGCCCUAGUUCUGACCGUAAACGAUGCCAACUAGCGAUCCGCUGAUGGAAAUUAUAUUGCCUUGGUGGGGAGCUUCCCGGAAACGAAAGUCUUCCGGUUCCGGGGGAAGUAUGGUUGCAAAGCUGAAACUUAAAGGAAUUGACGGAAGGGCACCACCAGGAGUGGAGCCUGCGGCUUAAUUUGACUCAACACGGGGAAACUCACCCGGCCCGGACACUGUGAGGAUUGACAGAUUGAUAGCUUUUUCAUGAUUCAGUGGAUGGUGGUGCAUGGCCGUUCUUAGUUCGUGGAGUGAUUUGUCUGGUUUAUUCCGAUAACGAGCGAGACUCUAACCUACUAAAUAGUUGGUACAUACUCUUUGUGUAUACAGCUUCUUAGAGGGAUUUGCGGCGUUCAGCCGAAAGAAAUUGAGCAAUAACAGGUCUGUGAUGCCCUUAGAUGUCCGGGGCUGCACGCGCGCUACACUGGCAAAAUCAACGUGCUUGUCCUACCCUGAAAGGGGCGGGUAAACCAUUGAAAAUUUGCCGUGAUUGGGAUCGGAAAUUGCAAUUAUUUUCCGUGAACGAGGAAUUCCAAGUAAGUGCGAGUCAUCAGCUCGCGUUGAUUACGUCCCUGCCCUUUGUACACACCGCCCGUCGCUGCCCGGGACUGAGCCAUUUCGAGAAAUUUGGGGACCGUUGAUUUAAUUUAUCUAAAUUAUUUUGAUGGAAACCAAUUUAAUCGCAGUGGCUUGAACC
rnacentral:rRNA from 1 species